AAUCAAAACAAGAAUCGUCACCAAAUCUCUUUGUAGAGAGAAGCCUUUUGAAGACAUCAUCGCUGAUUACAAAUUUCCAGAAGGAUCAGAAGAGGGGAAAAAAGCUUUGGCACUUGCAGCUCAUCUAUCUGCAAAGUUUCCACCUAUCCAGCAGAAUGUUUGGGAAGGAACAAAAAAAGGUUAGUCCCAUCAAACAAAAUAAAGUGUGCAGCAAAAAAACCCCAGGAGAUCAACUGAUAACAGCCAAAUGAAACUCCAGCCAAGUGAAAGGAAUUACUGCAACAUAAUUUAUUGGCAUCAAUUGUCAUGAGGCUGCACCAAAAUAAACACUUUUGCCCAGCUUGCAGUCUUAAUCACAGGGUAAAAAUGUUUAAUAGAGAAUCAUAAUGGUCAAGUGUUUAAGUUCUGUACCAAUAAUUAUUAUUUUGAUUGUAGUAGAUAAGAAUUUAUUGUCGAAGGCUUUCAUGGCCGGAAUCACUGGGUUGUUGUAGUUUUUUUCGGGCUAUAUGGCUAUGUUCUGGAGGCAUUCACUCCUGACGUUUCGCCUGCAUCUAUGUCAAGCAUCCCCUUUGCCUCUGAGGAUGCUUGCCAUAGAUGCAGGUGAAACGUCAGGAGAGACUGCCUCUAGAACAUGGUCAUAUAGCCCGAAAAAACCUAUAACAACUAGAUAAGAAUUUAAUUGAAUCUUUUCUUAAAUAUGCAAUAUAUGGCAUAUAAGUAGAUCUACUUUUCUUUCAUAAUCUAGUUUUUCUAUUAUAUAACCUCCAAAUGCAAAAUGCUUAUGAGUUAUUGCAGUAAUAAAAUUGCAUGGCACACUUUUAUCUUGUUACACCUGCAUUACAAUAAAGAUGAU